GAUGAAACAAAUCCGAAUAUCUUUAUGGUAGUGGGGGAACCAAUUUCAGGGGUGAAUCUUAGUAUUUUAAGAGGGGCAGCUUGGGAGCCCUAAUCCGUCAGCUAAUCCCAUAGGAGAAUACCAAGCGAAUGA
rnacentral:sRNA from 2 species